rnacentral:tRNA from 1 species
GCCCCCAUCGUCUAGAGGCCUAGGACACCUCCCUUUCAAGGAGGAGAUCAGGGGUUCGAAUCCCCUUGGGGGUA